CUAAAGGAAAGGCCCAAGGCUGCAGGCCUGAGAUUAGUUUGGCAGCAGCUCCAAAGAGCAGCCCUUCAAUCGCAGGGAUUGAGCCCUUAAAAGUCCUGGCUGCCUCCCACCAGCCCUGCUAAUGGGGCUGAGCUGUUGGAGCCCUGACCUCUGUCUACCCGCCUGAUGAUCUGCUGCUCUGAAUCUCACUUCCGCAGCACCCAGGAGGACCAGAGACUCGGUCUAGCUUAUGUGCUCCAUGGCCUUGCAUGUUUUCAGCACCUACUGUGCGCAGCAUCGCCGCGCCUCCCCAUCCCCCUGCCUGCUGUUACUCUCACCAGCGCGCCCAGUCACGGGCUAAUUAGUGGUUAAUUAGUCAUAGGCUAAUCAGUGGUUAGGGCUACAGUAUGUAUGCAUGGUGGGGUGCAGACAGUGGGGUGGCCGGCGGGUGACGGUGCGGGUGGAAGAGAACAGGAGAGACGAGGCCGUGGUCUGACCUUCCUCCAAAAAGCCCGGAAUCCCUGAGUCUGUCUGUGGCAGCUGUGGAACAGAGGGAGCAUGGGAUCUGAACCGUGCCGCCAUCUGGGAGAGCACACACACAGCCAAACCCCGGAAGGAAACUCGAGCUGAAAUAUACCGUUUGCUAAGGAGCCGGUCCGGGCACUGGUUUCUCUGCGUUCUGAAUUUCUAGAAAGGGAAAACUCUCCCUUGCCAGGCGACGUCUACCACCCCUUCCCACUGCGGCCCCUCCAGUCCGCACCCCUUCGCCUCCUAGACCCCCUGUGAGGACCCUCAGCAAACUUCCGCAAGGCCUGACGAGCCCUGGGUGCGGGGUGGUGUGGACGCAGAUCUUUCGGGCCGAGGGGAAGGCUGCGGGGGUGUGGGCGUGGAGGUGCCAGGAGCGCGCAGCCUCCGCCUGCCCGGCUGUCUCCGCGGACCCCACCGAGGGUGGGAGAGAAGCGCUGGGAAAAGGAAGGGGAGAAGGAGCCCGAGCGGGAGGCGAGCGAGCGGUUCUUUCGCUCCUCCCAAAGAGCGGGGCGGCUCCGCUGUGCUCCUGACAACCCGGCCGCCGCCGCCCUGCUACCGCUCCCCGGGACCCGUCGGCGCUGACACUGGUGACCCGCUGCGGGGGCGCGGGGCGCGCUGGACACUGGCCGCCGGCUCUCGGGCCCGCUCCUGUCGCAGGCUUCCGCUGCUUCCACGAGCCAAGCACAGACUCAUGUAG
rnacentral:lncRNA from 1 species